UACGGAGGGUGCAAGCGUUAUCCGGAUUUACUGGGUUUAAAGGGUGCGCAGGCGGAUAUGUAAGUCAGUGGUGAAAUCUCCGGGCUUAACCCGGAAACUGCCGUUGAUACUAUAUAUCUUGAAUGCUGUGGAGGUAAGCAGAAUAUGUCAUGUAGCGGUGAAAUGCUUAGAUAUGACAUAGAACACCAAUUGCGAAGGCAGCUUACUACACAGUUAUUGACGCUGAGGCACGAAAGCGUGGGGAUCAAACAGG
rnacentral:rRNA from 1 species